GGGUUGAUGCUGGCAGUCAUUUCUUUUGGUUGCAUGUGCUCGCUCCUAACAAUCUUUAUCUAAAACACCUGUGCACCUUUUUGAGGGGGGUUUCCAAGCUGCGGUUGUAGCGUCGGAUUUCAAUCCCUCUCAUCUCUUUACAAUAUACACCGUUUUCAAUGUUGAACGUGAAUUGUGCCGUUAAAGGCCUUAAUAUACAACUUUUAACAACGGAUCUCUUGGCUCUCGCAUCGAUGAAGAACGCAGCAAAAUGCGAUAAGUAAUGUGAAUUGCAGAAUUCAGUGAAUCAUCGAAUCUUUGAACGCACCUUGCGCUCCUUGGUAUUCCGAGGAGCACGCCUGUUCGAGUGUCGUGAAGUUCUCAAGCUGUGAUGCUUUUUUUAAGCAAUUAACUUGGUAUUGGGCUUUGCCGUGUCCCCUUCAUCCGGGACGGCUGGCCUUAAAGGUAUUAGCUUUGAUCCCUGGUGUGGAUUGGUUCUACUCAGCGUGAUAAUAAUCUGACCGCUGAGGACAUCUUUCGGGGUGGCCAGUUCUCCUUGGGAUUGCUCUCUAAUCUGGAUUGCAAGAUUUCGCGAAUCUUUGCUCCACUUCCAAUUUUGACCUCGAAUCAGGUGGGACUACCCGCUGAACUUAAGCAUAU
rnacentral:rRNA from 1 species